UACGGAGGGUGCAAGCGUUAAUCGGAAUUACUGGGCGUAAAGCGCCCGCAGGCGGUUUUUUAAGUCAGAUGUCAAAUCCCCGGGCUCAACCUGGGAAAUGCAGCGGAUACUGGCAAGCUUGAGUCUGGUAGAGGGGGGGAGAAUUCCAGGUGGAGCGGUGAAAUGCGUAGAGAUCUGGAGGAAUACCGGUGGCGAAGGCGGCCCCCUGGACGAAGACUGACGCUGAGGUGCGAAAGCGUGGGGAGCAAACAGG
rnacentral:rRNA from 1 species